AUUGAACGCUGGCGGCAUGCCUUACACAUGCAAGUCGAACGGUAACGCGGGGCAACCUGGCGACGAGUGGCGAACGGGUGAGUAAUGCAUCGGAACGUGCCUGGUAGUGGGGGAUAACUGCUCGAAAGAGCAGCUAAUACCGCAUACGACCUGAGGGUGAAAGGGGGGGAUCGAAAGACCUCUCGCUAUCAGAGCGGCCGAUGUCGGAUUAGCUAGUUGGUGGGGUAAAGGCCAAACAAGGCAACGAUCCGUAGCUGGUCUGAGAGGACUACCAGCCAAACUGGGAGUGAGACACGGCCCAGUCUGCUACGGGAGGCAGCAGUGGGGAAUGUUGGACAAUGGAAGCAAGUCUGAUCCAGCCAUGCCGCGUGCGGGAAGAAGGCCUUCGGGUUGUAAACCGCUUUUGUCAGGGAAGAAAUCUUCUGGGUUAAUACCUCGGGAGGAUGACGGUACCUGAAGAAUAAGCACCGGCUAACUACGUGCCAGCCGCCGCAGUAAGAC
rnacentral:rRNA from 1 species